UGUGAGGUUGGGAGUCAAGAGGAAUGCUAAUGUACACGUACUGGGACGUAGGUAUCAAGCAGAACUCCGUCAAGGUGACCAGGGACAGAGCUUGACUUCAGGAAGCCUUGACUGACCCCAAUCAAACUGUGUGCUCCCCUUAAAAUCACCCAUUCUAUUGCUUUAUCGUUACAUCUCGUUCUUUUUUUUUUCUCUCCUCUUCUGCUCUCACAGCUUUUAACAUGCUGAUUAUUUUGUCUCAGCCACUGCUCUACUUCUCUUUUUCUCACAUUAGGAUGGCAAGGCCGAGAUUGAGGGAAAACCAAUUUGGGGGCAGAAAUGGGGGAUUAGAGCGUCUGUUUAAUCUAGCACAGACUUGUGCUGUGCCACACAGUCCUCACUCCGUAUAACCAGCACUACCCACCCAUCCACCCACCCCUCUAUCCUGCCAUCAGUCUAUCUUUGAUGGUCCUUUAAAUGUUUAAAACUAAUGGAUUCCGUGAGUGUUUUUUCCCCCCCUCUCUUCCUUCCUAACGGGAGGGCUAUAAUCCCUAAUGGAUUUAAAUGAAAUGUGAAAUGUCACAAUGCCAGGGACCCUUUUAGAGGUGCAUUUCUGUGUACAUGUGCGUUGUGAGUGUUUGCAUGUUGACGUGUGUGUCAACAUGCUUAAGCCUUUUCCCUGCCGGAACCGCAUAAAACAGCCAAAAAACCGAUGGGUACACUGAAAAGAAAAGCACUUCGAUCAUCAUACAAGCGCAAAGGCAUGCAAACUCCAGGGACACACGUAGAUACGCAAGACUGUCAGCUUCCCAGCUCCCAGGACUUUUUGCCCUGUGAGGGUUGCUGGAGAGACGAUGUAGCAUACAAACGCAGUGAGUGGACCAGACUCACUCGUCUUUGGCGUGUUCUUAGGUUCCAAAACCUCAGUUACACACUAAAUCUAAUUGCUGGUGCUGAUGUUAAUGAACCUUGUGGCCAUGACAUCUGUUGCACUAGGUCAAACCAGUCUAUUGCUAUAUGGUUUUAAAACACUGCUAAAAGAACCUGCUGUUUGAGAUGCCACUAGAAAGUGAAGGACAGUAUGUGCAUGUGUAGUUUUCUCAGAAUGUAAUCUGCCCUCUCUGUUCACAGGCCUGGUUAGCUGGCUAAAUGAUGAGAUUUGACCUGCUGUAGCACAGAUGGUUUGAUUUCUCGUAAAAGGAAACCACUUUCUAUAAAUUCAAAAAUUUCAAUAAAGUUUAUUUUAAUACAUUUUGGACCCUUUUUCACAUGGUAGACUGGGCCCAGUAUAUAUCAAUAUUGAUCAUAUUUGUUCAACCAUUUUUAACCUUACUUACAUAUUCAUGUUUGCUUUUGUGUAAACAUCACAGUCAUUGGUCGUCCCUUGUCUCUUGUUAUUUUUACUUUCUUCCUGUCCUUUCCUUUGUCAUCCCUCUCUUGUCUCCCACCCUCUCAUCCCUUCUCACUCUGUCUUUCCCUAACCCCUCUGUUCCUCUCCUUUCCCCUCUCUCUGAGAGUCAGUUGCCCACCCUAAAUCAGCAAGCUGCCGAGGAUUGUGGGAACCCAUGGAAUCACUGUGACCAGGGAUGCAGGCAGGGAGCCACGGCAACGCUGGAAUGUGGGGCGUCUGAGGAGAUAAGAGCUGUGAGCCCAGCCAAGGAGAGGGGAGGGAUGCAGCGAGAGAGGGGGGCAGAGUGAGGAGGGUGAGACGGAAACAGGGAGAGCAGCAAUUCUGUGAAUGGGGAGACAAACACAACACCAUAAACAGCCCAGAGAGCAAGACAGAGUGAGACUGAGAAAGAGGGGCGGAGGACUUAGGGGUGCACACACUGGAGAUGGGAAGCCAGCCUUAUUCCGCUUUGCAUUUCAUUUACAUCCCUGGCCGUAUCGACCAAUCGGAUUGGGAGCAAAGCCCAGGGCUUAGGAGGGGAAUAAAAAGACAAAAUGCCUUUGCUGCUCUCAUCCCUCCCUGAUAAUACCCCUUCUGUUUUUCUUUUCUCUUUUUCUCCCGUCUAUAAGUAGAUACUGUCCGAAAUGCCAGCGGAAAAGCGACACCUCCGCUUGCUGUAUAUCUCAGAUAGACCGAGCGGGAGCAGGGGCUGAAAAGACAGCUUUAGCAACUGGGCCUAUCUCCUCUCCUCUCCCUGGCUGGAUGGAAGCUUGGAGUGGAGGGAGGCGGAGGGCCGGGGUGUGUUGGUUAGUGUUUGGGAAGAGAAUAGAGGGUGUGAGAGGCAUGAUAUACUGAGCUGGCCACAGAUUUUGCAGAAUCUUGCACUCUAAAAAACUUUGCCUGCAGAUCCCUUUCCUAAGCAUGAGAAACCUGUUUCAAGGAUGUUUACGAGGUACCACCCAUCUUUGUGAAGGUUGCCAAUGCUUGCUACCCAACUCCACACAUAUUUUUAGCUUUGGAUAGUGGUUAUUGUAGUGCACUAAGUUGCAGGUUUAUCCGAAAUGGAAACUCAGUUAACUUCUCAGUUAACUGCAAUGUCUUAGUUAACAGUGGAUUUUUAACACAGUGGAACCUUAACUUUAAACAUCUCUUAACAUACUUAGUUAUUUUGGCUAAAUUAAAUAUUUUCCUAUAUAACUCAGCAAUGUGUAUUGGGUAGAAUUAGGCCCAUUAACACCAGUCUGUGUUGACAUGAUGUCAUGAUUGACUUGUCUCAGGUUUUUGUUUGUUAUCACUCUUGAUGUGUGUGUUUCUCAGUGUGUGGUAUCCUCUGUUUGUAUGUCAGGUACAGUAUGUUUGCAGGUUUACUGAAUUUAUUUGUACAGGUGUUUGUCGUGCUCUCCAUUGUGAUUCCUGUUUGUAUUUGGGUUGCUAUGCGUCUAUUGUGCCAAAAUGGACAAAGUGUUUAUACUCUUUCUAAGUGUCUUUUCUGUAUUUAAAGGACUAUGUUAUUGUCUUGGUGCUCACGUCUUUAUGUAGGCGCACCCAGACUAUUGUACUGCCACUGGACGCAGUGCUGGCAUCGCUGCUGAUAUAGAGCUUAUUGAAAGUGAUUGUUGUUGCACAGAUGAGAGUUAAUCUCAAUAUGGGUCUGCGGCAAAGCAUUCAGACAUAGAGAGGGUCCUUUACCUGCCUCCACCAGACGCAUGUGAAAGAUAAGGUCACCUUAGGACCCUGUGUGGACCCCCUCCACCGUCACAGCGUCCUCAUACUCCUCAGCCUGCACAACCUCACCCCUCUAGUAAAACAAACCAAACAAUAGAAGCAGAUAUGUGAGGGAUUAGAGGUCAGAGGGUUGGGGAAUGCAACAUCUCCAUUUCCUGGAUCAAUCUUCAACCGCUUGGUAAUCUCUGGCCCCAGGCCCCACAUACCUCCAGUGGUCUCUCUGGCUGAGAGCUGGCAUUGCCAGGCGGUGUGAGCUGGUACUUCUCCUGGUUGUGGGGGGCUGAUAGGAUAGUGGGGAGUGGGGUUAUAACCUGAUAGUGUGGAUGUAUGGAAGAGCACAGGGAUGAGUAACAAAGGGUCCCUGCUUUAUUUUCAAACCUCACCUAAAUCCUCACAGAUAGGUGUGUGUGUGUGUGUGUGUGUGUGUGUGUGUGUGUGUGUGUGUGUGUGUGUGUGUGUGUGUUUGCCAAUGUAUGACACAGACCCAAUCUUAAUGUGUGUCUGUGUACUUUGUGUGCACAUGUUCAUAAAGUGUGUUUUAAUUUGUAAAUGUAAAAUAACAGAGUUCUUUAGCGCAAACUGAAUAUUAUCCCCAAGUUCCCGUUAUCUUGUGUACACACAUUUGUUUAUUUGAUACAGCCUCUCUCCUCUACAGCACUUCUGUAUAUCAAAGACAGCAGUGCAGAGCGCAAUUGAAAAUGGCUACCGUGGAGAAAGGUCUCUCUGCUUUUGACUGCGAAGAGGCAGAAAAAGCCCUAUUCUCCGCUCCCUUCUUAGAUCUAUUUAAAUAAUUGAGGAGUAAACUGACAAAUUAGGCACCUUUAUGGACGCCCCUGGGCUCUCUCUGGGGUCCUUUAGUUUCCCCAAUACAAGAGAGUGCCACCAGCCACAGGAUAAUAUCUCUGUGUGCUUUGAGAGGGAGGAGGGAAGGAGGGUAGUGGGCCAGGAGGGGUUUCGCCAAUCAAGCGGGCCACACUUCCUCCCCCAGGUUCUAAUUUUGUGCCACAUUAAAGAGCUCGGCCUCCAUUUAGGACACAGAGAGGCAUUUUCAUAAUUUGCCGGGUCUCUCGACUUGCUCGGGGGUGCCUUUUUUCCUCUCUCUCCUCCCUCUCUCUCACUCCGUGUCUGAAUGGAAGGCCUGGGGAGGAAGAGGGGUAAUUCAUUCGCCUCCUUUCAACCAACCGGCUUCAGUUCUGCAUAAUGUUGCUGCUAGGUGUGUAUAGCAGCUAAUAUUUAUCUCUUUAAUAAUUCUCUAUUAGACCUGAAUAUUAUUUGCUAACACUGGUUAUUGUCAGCUAUACAAAAAUGGUGUCAUUCACGUUUUGUUGAUACAUUAAGGCUAAAUCAUAAGCCUGUAUAGUUAGGAGUUAAAGACUAUAGUGUGUCUAAUCUGUGACCAUGCAGCCAGCUAUGAUGCUUACAUCGAUAGAAUCUGUGAUGUAGUAUACAUACAGUACAUAAUCUAGGUUAAGGUUGUCUCAUUUGCUCUUUCUGACACCAUCCAUUCAUGCACUACAGUAUGCGUAAGCAUUGAUUCAUAUGUGAUUGGUCACAUAAUUCACAGUCUCAGGGGGCAUUUCAUCGCUGAGAGACAAGCUAAUCUAAAAUCCCCCAAUUUACAAAUGAAAAUCCCACCAUCCAAUUGAGCUAAUAGAGGGACUUGAAUGGGAUAAUAAGAUGUGGUGUAAUACUGUGUAAAAAGCCUGUAAUGUUGUGUUGGUGUAAGAGCCUGUGUGACUGGAUGUUUGACUGUUUGCAGUGAUUACAGGGGCCUGCGGGCCUGGCGGCUGCUCCGUUGCUGGGACAGGGAGCUUCUCCCUGGGUAAGGAGAUACGCCUGUCUGCCCCUUCUGCUGGAGCUACAGGGACCAGGAUGUCAGGAGGGAGAGUGCUCCCUGUGAGCUCGCUCUCUCUUUUUUACUCUGUCUCUUUCUGUCUGUCUCUCUCCCUCUCGUUCCCGGACUCGCUGUGUCUGUACUAUUGCAGUGCUUGCAGAUGUACACAAACAAGGGAGGAUUAAAGCAAAACGAAUCUAAACAGACAAAUGGAAUUAGAGUGAUGGGUGUCGGUGGGCUGGUUCACAGUGAUAAACAUAAUGAUGCUCUGAAUGUGUGUGAGUGUGUUCCUGUGUCUGGGGGAUUAUCAGUGGUUAGGUGUGUGGUGUGUAUGACUGGGUGACUGCUUCUGGGUGUCUUUGUGUGUUUGCCUAUCUGUCUAUGUUUUUGUAAUUAUGUGUGUGUAUAUUUACUCUGUCUCUACUUGUGUGUGUGAUAAACGUGUUAUUCUACAUUGCCUCACAAAAAAACAAGUCUCCACACCCUAUGCAUGUGUGUGGAUAUGUUUCUCUGUCCGGGUCAUAUUUCCUUCUUGUCUUUGACAGUGUCUGUUUGUGUUUGUGUACAGGAGCUGCUACCUAAGCUUGUAUGUCUUUACGGGACAUCAAAACUCUUCACCCAAUAUUUAUAUAUGUCUAGAAAGAUGAGAGAAUGUUUGUGGAAUAUGAAGGUCUAAUUUUGACAUAGUGCCCUGCAGUUCACGUGCUGAUGUUGUAUGUAGGCUUGUUUUCUUGCGACAGGAGUCUGUGUGUUUGUGCACUGAGGAGGUCAGGAGUGUGGAGGAGCCAGCAGGGGGGCAGUGAUCAACAGACUGGGGCUCCCCUGCCGAGGGGCUCUGGGAUUAGGGCUAAACCCUGCCCUGCCAGAUGGGCACAACACAUCCCCAUCAUUGCACACCAGCACCUUCUGUGGAAACCAGACAACUGGAACCAUUGUGAUAAUAACUGGUACGCUUCUCAACUGACUCAGAGGACCAUACAGAAUGGCGGCAGGAGAGACGACUGAAAUGAGGUACUCUUCAAAGUAUCAGCUAGUGGACAGUAUGGCCAGUCAGCAGGUUCAAGGGUAUCGGAAAUGAAACUUACAGGUUGUUUUGAUGUGCUGUAUUUCAGAGCCACAGGCAACACUGAAAUUAUAGUGUGUGUGUGUGUGCGAAGGUGUAUGUGUGUGAGAGUAGAUUGGUGGCUCAGGAAUCAGCAGUGUGUUGAUUGCCUCCUGCUUGACUUUUAUCGCACACAACUGGCACUAAAUAGUCUCCAAUUCAGUUCAUGAAUCACUAGACUGGUGUUAUAGUCAAUACUGUAACUGCUGCUAUAUACUGUUUCAGGUUAGCUUUAAUAAUUGUUAUAAAUGUUGUAAUAGCUAAACAACGGUCUAAAAGCCCUGAUAGCAUCCCAUAGAGGCUGUGCUGCUUCUCAUUUCUAAAAUAAGUGGUUUAGACUAGCCAUUCAGCAUUUCCAUGCUUAGAGUUCAACACUCAUGCUAGGAGGCCUAUUUGACAAAAAUGUGUACAUGUUAAGAUGUAGCGUCAACCUGCUGUACGUCUUUGUGAUACCACCCCACCUGGAUCUGUUAUCCAGGGCGUCCCCAGCAUGAUUUAGGAAAUUGUGUCUGUAUUAGUAGAAAGCAGAUUACAUGAGUAAAGUGUACAAACAAAUAAAAGAUUACAGGCUGUGAA